AUUGAACGCUGGCGGCAGGCUUAACACAUGCAAGUCGAACGGGUGGCGGACGGGUGAGUAAGGCUGGGGAAUCUAGCUUAUGUAGGGGGAUAACUAGGGGAAACUGUAGCUACUACCGCGUACCACAGGAUGGGCCCACGUGGGAUGAUGUAGUUGGUGAGUUAAAGGCUCACCAAGCCGAAGAUCUCUAGCGGGUCUGAGAGGAUGACCAGCCACACUGGGACUGAGACACGGCCCAGACUCCUACGGGAGGCAGCAGUAGGGAAUCUUGGGCAAUGGGGGAAACCUGACGCAGCAAGGCCGCGUGAAUGAAGAAGGCUUUCGGGUUGUAAAGUUCUUUCGGUAGCGAGGCGUUAACUACAGAAGAAGCCCCGGCUAACUACGUGCCAGCAGCCGCGGUAAUAC
rnacentral:rRNA from 1 species